rnacentral:rRNA from 1 species
GCAGUAGCCGCGGGAACACAGAGGGUGCGAGCGUUAAUCGGAUUUACUGGGCGUAAAGCGUGCGUAGGCGGCUUCUUAAGUCGGAUGUGAAAUCCCUGAGCUUAACUUAGGAAUUGCAUUCGAUACUGGGAAGCUAGAGUAUGGGAGAGGAUGGUAGAAUUCCAGGUGUAGCGGUGAAAUGCGUAGAGAUCUGGAGGAAUACCGAUGGCGAAGGCAGCCAUCUGGCCUAAUACUGACGCUGAGGUACGAAAGCAUGGGGAGCAAACAGGAUUAGAUACCCCAGUAGUCCCUGUCUCUUAUAC